UUGACUCAUUUCCAUUUGUAACUAAAAACUCAGAUUUGGCUUUCCGUUGUCCACGAGGCUCAAUAAUCAGAGCAACAAAUGGUUACGGUGGCACACCCGUGUCCUUCAUGGACCCGUUGUCCCAUUCCAAUUUCAAAGCGAAUCCCACGACGGCGUUUAAAGGGCAGAACCAACCUCACACGCCUGAACCCUCCACCAGUUCUCGCUGUAGCUGCUCUGGUCGAAGCAACGCCUUCAAGCACCUCACCUUCACUCAGGGAUGGGUCCAUCAAGGUUCUGACCCUCCCAGUGGACCGUGCCGAUGACCUGCAAGCUGAGGCCAGAGCCAUGGCUCGUGCCGCCAAUGCCACUGUCUACAGCCCGCAACUCAUUGCCUCUAAAUAUGGGUCCCAACCCAUCAAGGUGGUGCGAAGGACCCUUCGGAUUCUGACUGCGUUAGGUUCUUUUGGGCUGAAGCUGUUCUUGGACCAGAGGAAUGGAGUGCUCGAUCAGAAUAGAAGAGUGCGUGCAGCUGAGCUCAGGACAAUAUUCACGCAGCUAGGACCAACUUUUGUGAAAUUGGGUCAGGGAUUGUCCACGAGGCCUGACAUAUGCCCACCAGAGUACCUGGAGGAGCUCUCUGAGCUUCAAGAUGGUUUGCCUACAUUUCCGGAUGAUGAGGCCUUUGCAUGCAUUGAGAGGCAAUUAGGGCUAUCUCUUGACUCUAUUUUUUCUUCCAUAUCACCUUCACCCAUAGCAGCAGCCAGUUUGGGUCAAGUUUACAAGGCUCAGUUGAAGUAUUCUGGGAAACUCGUGGCUGUCAAGGUGCAACGUCCUAGCAUUGAGGAGGCUAUAGGAUUGGACUUCUACUUGAUAAGAGGUCUAGGGUUUCUCAUAAAUAAAUACGUGGACAUAAUCACCACUGAUGUUGUUGCACUUGUUGAUGAAUUUGCAUGCAGAGUUUUUCAGGAGCUCAACUAUGUGCAGGAGGGACAAAAUGCAAGGAGGUUUAAAAAGUUGUAUGCUGACAAGGAAGAUAUAUGUGUCCCUGAUGUUUUCUGGGAUUAUACAAGUGCCAAAGUACUAACAAUGGAGUGGGUUGAUGGAGUCAAACUAAAUGACCAACAAGCUAUUGAGAGACAAGGAUUAAAAGUCUUGGAUCUGGUGACCACAGGCAUACAAUGCAGCCUCAGACAGCUACUUGAGUACGGGUAUUUCCAUGCAGAUCCUCAUCCUGGGAACCUUUUAGCAACACCCGAGGGAAAGCUUGCUUUUCUUGAUUUUGGAAUGAUGAGUGAGACUCCAGAAGAAGCAAGAUUUGCCAUAAUUGGUCAUGUUGUUCACUUGGUUAACCGCGACUACGAAGCUAUGGCUCGUGACUACUAUGCUCUAGAUUUCCUAUCACCUGAUGUUGAUGUAUCUCCAAUUGUACCAGCACUCCGAAACUUUUUUGAUGAUGCACUUAAUUAUACUGUGAGUGAACUUAACUUCAAGACACUAGUGGAUGGUCUGGGAAAUGUUUUGUAUCAAUUUCCAUUUAAUGUCCCAGCAUACUAUGCUUUAAUACUGAGGUCUCUCACUGUUUUAGAAGGUCUAGCACUUUAUGCUGAUCCCAAUUUUAAGGUGCUUGCGGCUUCAUACCCAUAUUUUGCUAAGAGGCUCUUAACAGAUCCAAAUCCAUAUCUAAGAGAUGCUCUUAUUGAGUUGCUUUUCAAGGAUGGGAAGUUCAGGUGGAGUAGACUUGAAAACCUGCUAGUCCAGGGGAGAAAGGACAGAGAUUUCUCAGCUAAAGAGGCUUUACAACCCGUCCUGAAGGUAUUAUUGAGUCCAGAUGGUGAAGAGCUUAGGACUUUAGUUAUCAAAGAGGCUGUUCGCAUAACUGAAGCUUUUACUCUUAGCACAGUUUCUGAUACAUACAAGUCAGUUCCCAAUUUUAUGAGGACUCUUGUAUUUAAUGGCAAUGCAAAUGGACCCCUUAUGAUGUCAGAAGCUGAAAUGCAAAGCAUGACAGAUCUUAGAGAUCAAAUAUUCAGGAUAUGGGGACUUCUGCAAUCUUCUAAUGAUUUUGAUCCAGCUCUUUUGCUACCUAUACUGCAGGUUCUUCAGCAACCUGAAGCACGCAGACUUGGGGGGCGUGUCAUGGGAGGGAUCACUCAACGUCUUGCAGCACGCUUUCUGCAGCAAGUACUUCGAGUUCCAACAACAACUUCUACAUAGUUUUGUGUCACUCUCAGCAGUUGUAGUCUAGAUAAGGCAUGCUUACUACUUACAUUUCCUUUGUAUUUGUUGAUUUCUACCCAUUAAAAAAGGGUGAUUGUUGACUUGGUUCAAUUCUUUUUCACAACAUCUGAAAUAUGGCAAAGGAAUGAGCAUGCAGGAAAAUAACAGUUUGAUUUUAUGAUGUUUCACUGGAUCUGUUGUAAUGCAAGAUCUGUCUGCUAAGGAUCUGUUUGCAAGUGUGAGAAUAGGUUCAGGGGUCUAAGUGUGAUAUAAGUUCAGCUUCAGCCACACCUGAGAGCAGCUUUCAGCUAACGGGAAUAGUGGCUAUCGUGAACAGGGAACAGCAUUCAUAGUACAGCAGGAAAAAAUGUAAAGAGUGGAUUCUUCCAAAAUUGUUUGAUUAUCUUGUUCGUUUUGGAUUCUCUGAUUUGUUGUAAAAGAUUGAAUAUGUUAUUGAUGCCGCUGUCAUCAUGAACAGCAUCAACAGAUAAGAAUAAUAUAAGAGAGUAUCAAUAAUUGG